GGGAAUAAAAAAUGAAAUCGUGGUUUGAAAUUCUUGAUUAUUUGAACGAUUUAAACACCAUUUGAGGACGUCCGGUGGAAUUUUUCCAGUUUCUGUCAAGUUGGUUGACAAUUCAGAGAAAAUGUCUUUAUUCAGAAACUCAUUAUGAUCAUGAGCGAGAAUUGGAGUGUCGAACAGUGGAGAAAAUCCAAAAGCUGGUAUCCCAAUCUGUAAAUGGUUCGAACACGUUUCUCGGCAAACAAAAUUCCAUUCUGAUGACGUCACCAUAGUUCCAGGAAUCCUUAUCUACAGUGUUGCCAUGUUUCAACAAUCUUGAAA